ACCAUGUGAGGCAUGACUUUCUUUCACCUUCUGCCAUGAUUGUGAGACCUGCCCCAGCCACAUGGAACUAAGAACAGUAAAACAGACUUGUUAUUGGCAGCCCAUUAGUGCUCAGGAGAGGCGGUCUCCAGCAUGACAUCAGCCGGCGGCUCGACCCAAAUCUAGUAUUUCACCAGAGAGCCUAACGCUGCUGGCUUUCCAACUGUGUGGAAGACGAUACAGGCGUAACAAAGACAAGGAUGAAAUAAGUCCUGUGAUGGAGAGACAAGCAAAAUUCUACCUGACUUCACAGGAGGAAGAAGUGUGCUGUGCCAGGGGGAACAGGAGAAAGCUUCAUGGAAGAGGUCACAGGAAAUGGGUAGCUAUCCAGCUAAAUAGAUUUCAUGCUUGACUUCAGUGGAAUAGCUCAAAUGAUGAUCUGUUUGGGAGAGUAAAUUAAAGAGAAGCAAACAGUCUCCAUUCAGAGAGCAGGACCACACUCUGGGUUCUUGUUUAAGCGUUUGACGUGCACAUGAGACACCUAACAAAGCCUGAAACUAAAUUUAUUUUUCACUACAUCUCUCUGGUAUCAAACUUUUGGAAGUAAA
rnacentral:lncRNA from 1 species